GCCAACUGAUCAGGCUAGCGCCCCUCCCCCUGACUACUUCUUCUUAUACUAGGAAGCUUUUCACAUCGGGCUUCGACUUUCACUUCCACCUUUUGUUGUUGCUCUUUUUUGCUAUUUAAAUAUUUUUCUAGUUUCUGUAGCGCCGAACUCCUUUAGGUUUUCGAUAGGAUUUCUCUCCCUCUAUCGUUUAGCUGAAGUCCGGCCAAAUCUUUCCUUGUUUAGGAAUUUCUAUACC
rnacentral:lncRNA from 1 species